AACGAACGCUGGCGGCAUGCCUAACACAUGCAAGUCGAACGAGACCUUCGGGUCUAGUGGCGCACGGGUGCGUAACGCGUGGGAACCUGCCCUUAGGUUCGGAAUAACUCCCCGAAAGGGGUGCUAAUACCGGAUAAUGUCUUCGGACCAACGAUUUAUCGCCUUUGGAUGGGCCCGCGUUGGAUUAGCUCGUUGGUAGGGUAAAAGCCUACCAAGGCGACGAUCCAUAGCUGGUCUGAGAGGAUGAUCAGCCCCACUGGGACUGGGACACGGCCCAGACUCCUCCGGGAGGCAGCAGUGGGGAAUAUUGGACAAUGGGCGAAAGCCUGAUCCAGCACUGCCGCGUGAGUGAUGAAGGCCUUAGGGUUGUAAAGCUCUUUUACCCGAGAUGAUAAUGCCAGUACCGGGAGAAUAAGCUCCGGCUACCUCCGU
rnacentral:rRNA from 1 species